UUGUACUUUCCUAGCUCUAAGAAUAGGUUAGAAAUUAAAAAAAAAUACAAAUAAUUACAAUAGAUUUAUUCUAAAAUUAAUAAAACACCUAAAGUAAACUAAAAUAAAUGAAAUAAAAAAUUAUAAUAUAUUAAAAUUAACAUAAUUCAUAUACGGAACCCAAUAUUAAUUAUUUACACAAAGGUCCUCGUAACUAUUGCGCCUACGCAUCUCUAAACGGGUGAACUGGUUUCGCCGCGCGCGACGGUGGUGCCUCGAGUGCAUUCGGGGCCGAGACGCAGGAGACGACCAAAUUGCAUCAGACGUGACGGCUGUGUCACACGUUUUUUUACUUGACCUUCAGUAUUGCGUACCUGUCUAAUUUCUACUUAUUUGUGCUAGACAAAUUAUAAUCGGAAAUCCCGCUGGGGAUUUAUUUCUACGUUGGAUAUUUCUACGUUGGAUAUUUCUACGUUCGAUUUUCUACGUUCCUCUUUAAACCCUCGCUACGCAACGUUCUUCCUGGCGGCGAGUGAAAGACCAGACCUGAUCCUGUCUGGAACUACCUGGGUCCUGCUGGAGACCUGGAAGUGCAACCUGGGAAGGAGCUGGGCCGUCGUCGGAGCUACACCACGGUUCAGGCCAGUGUUCCCAGUGUACCUUCUACCUCGAGAUCUAUUCGUGGUUAGGGCAACAGAAGUUGGCUUAAAUAAAGUCUCAAUUUCUACCAAA
rnacentral:lncRNA from 1 species